UACGUAGGGGGCAAGCGUUGUCCGGAAUUAUUGGGCGUAAAGCGCGCGCAGGCGGUUCUUUAAGUCUGGUGUUUAAACCUAGGGCUCAACCUUGGGUCGCAUCGGAAACUGGGGAACUGGAGUGUAGGAGAGGAAAGUGGAAUUCCACGUGUAGCGGUGAAAUGCGUAGAGAUGUGGAGGAACACCAGUGGCGAAGGCGACUUUCUGGCCUAUAACUGACGCUGAGGCGCGAAAGCGUGGGGAGCAAACAGG
rnacentral:rRNA from 1 species